GUCUGUAUGGUGUAGCGGUUAUCACGUUCGCCUCACAUUUAAUGAGAGCGCGAAAGGUCUCAGGUUCGAUCCCUGAUAUAGACA